AACUGUAGAGGCAUUAGUGAACUAUUCUUCACAACCUGGGUCCAAUUGCCUGCUGGGAAAGAGCUUGCUGCUGCUGGGUGAUCCAUGGAGCUAUGCUUUGGUGGACAGUUACCCCUCAGGAACACCUGGCAAGUGACACCUGCUGGUCCUGGCUUUACUGAUCUUCUCUCCAUCUUUGGAACCAUGGCUGGGAGGAAAGAACCAGCUAUGGAGUAGGGCAGCUGCCUGCCUCUCUGACCUGAACAAGCAAGAUCAGCAUUCUCAGAAAGCAACAAAGUGAGACAAUACUUUUCUCUGGAUCAGGGAUAGGACAAGCCUACAGGAUAGCCCAUGCUAUAAGAUGAUAUAAGAGGCCACAAGUGGAAAGUGGAAACAUACAACGUGGGAAAACUCUGUUAAUUAGAGUCAAAGUCCACGUGACCGGAUACCUUCUGGGCUUGGUGCACUUAUGGGAAACUCCCUUUGUUAAUGGGUUUUCUCCUUCUCUGACCUUGCAUGGGAAAUUCUAAGCCCCCACAUGAACUCUUCUCCCUAAGGAUGCCAUGUAGUCUCACUUAGUUUAUAGGAUCAAUUCCCUUUCUCCCGAUAAAACCCAUUCAGCAAUCGCCUAAGGUACCUGAAAUGCUUCCCAAAGCUAAUGAGGCAUUCUAGGUACCCUCAGCCCCGAGCCAAUGACCUUUGCUCACCCUUGAUGUCCUUACCCUUAUUCCCCCAAAACUUUAUAA
rnacentral:lncRNA from 1 species